GCUUUUUAGAUAGAAAGGCACAGGAGAAUAAGAUCCUGAACUCUUUCAGAUAAAAAAAAAAAUGAAAAAAGAAGAACGCUUCAGAGGACUCGCGAGUUUGUUUCAAUUUGUGAAAUCUAAAAUUUCGAGAUCUCAUAUGAUCCUUCCAUGGCUUUGCGUCUCCGUUUCCGUUGAAUUGAUCAUCUCUCGAUACUGGAGUUCAGAUCCAAAGAUGAAAACCAUGUCUAAACUCGAUUCGUGUUGAAUUGUUCGAUUUUAGCAAGGAUUUUCAAUUUCCUUUUAAGGAUUUGAUGAUUCGCAGAUAAUUGAUAGGCUGUGUUUGCGAAGAGGCCUCUCAAUUUCAGAAAGCUUUAAGGUUUGAACAUGUUAGAAACAAGUUCUCAAACUCUGCGUCUUCUUGAACUGGACUUUACACAAGACAAGUCACUUGACAUUUGUGAUUAAAAGGGUAUUUCUUCUAUACGCUCAGAUUCUUUGACCAACGUUCAAUCCCUAGAAGCUGUUAACACUGUAAGUCUAGAAGCUUAAAGGAGGAAUGAGAUAUUAUACAAUGUAUGCUCCAUUUAGUUGGAAGGAGACUCUGGUUUUAUAGGAAGGUGAUCGCAUAGAAAAUGGUAGGAAAUGCUCCAUUUGUUACUUUCUACUCUUUUUUUUUUGUUGCUCUAGUGUUGUUAGUAUUGAUCUGGUAUUUCAUUUUUAACCUUGCGGAGCUGCAAGCCUGCAAGUCAAUCACAACAAUCAUUGAUCUAGCCUGCCUGGCUAUGGUGAUGUAGAGAUCAUGACAGAAGAAAACAAAGAAAGACAGUGGCUAAUGUUGGGUAUGUAGGAUGCAGGAUGCAUGUAUAGAAAGGAUUUGUUAAAUAUCAUAUCAAUGCCCUCGGGUUUCAGUGACGAGUCACAUGAGGAGUCACCGGCGGAUGUGGAAAGCUGCAACGAAAUGGAGAGAGACAACAGAGCAAACAUUGAUAAUAUAUGCUACUGAUGUUAUUAGAGAGUAUAGGUUUCCUUGACAGUAGUAAACAUCUCUUGUAUUUUGUUAUAACUUAUAAGAUUGUGUCCUUGUUAUUAGAUUUCUCUGUAGAGACAUAUCAUGUUUGAAUAUCUGAAUUUUAUAUGGAUUAACUUUUUGGAUU